UUUUGGGGUGGAGGUUUUCUGGAACGCUGACACUGGCAUUGUCUUAACACAGAAGUUUCCAAACUUGACAACUUUGAAGACUUGUGGACUUCAACUCCCAGAAUUGAGGGAUUCUGGGAGUUGAAGUCCACAAAUCUUAAAGUUGCCAAGUUUCUACCUCAACGCAAGGGCGUGCAGGACCUUGGGCUCUUCCUGCCAGCCACAGGCUGCCUCCCCCUAACCUAAGUCAAGGUUGAAGAACAGGGCUGACCAAGCAAAGGUUUUCUUUCCAUCUGCUCAAACCUUCUCCUCUUCCUUUUUGGAACGAGCACCGCUUGUAAGUAAGCCAUUUUCAUUGCUCUUUGUUCCAGUGCGUCACCCGCCCAUUUUUUAGCUCCUUCCCAGGCCCUGUCUGUGUUUCAAAUACCUCUUGCAAAUAAUCCAGUUACUUGAAGCUCCUUGAUCUGGUGAUGUUAUUGUUGCUGCUGCUGUGCUCUCUGAGUUGAAAAUAAUCCCUCCCUUUCUCGCUGCGAAGAGUUCUUGCCAGAACUCUUCUUCUUUUCAAGAAAGGAAAGAAAUAAAAACCCAACACAUCUGAUCUGAGCUUUCUCUUUGAAGAAGCCUGCACGGCGGGCCUCCUCCGAUCGAUCCAAAUUAUUCUGUAUUUUUUCCCCCCUCCCUUCUUAGCAACCAAAGAGGAAGAAGAAAAACCUCGUUUUAUCUUCAAGGAUCCAGAUUGGGGCACCGCACAGGGAUUGUACAUUAUGCUGCUAAGUCAUCUCGUGAUCUUCAGCAAGGAAUUCUAGCCGAGGUUGAACCCAGAGAGCGAUCCAUAUGUUUGGGAAAAGAAAGUGAUUGCGUCCCGACCGGCCGACCAUGAGCAUGUUGAAACCAAGCGGGCUGAAAGCCCCCAGCAAGAUCAGCAAACCGGGAAGCGUGCUGGCCAAAACAGCCUCACCUGCGGCUACAGGUGAGGCCGUAAGAUGAUUCGUCCUGGGGAAUGAUAGAAGCCAGAGACGGAGACCUUCUCCGUGCCAUCUCGGGUUUCUGUCGCAGGCUUCGU
rnacentral:lncRNA from 1 species